rnacentral:rRNA from 1 species
UACGUAGGGUGCGAGCGUUAAUCGGAAUUACUGGGCGUAAAGCGUGCGCAGGCGGUUUUGUAAGCCAGGUGUGAAAUCCCCGGGCUCAACCUGGGAAUGGCAUUUGGGACUGCAAGGCUUGAGUGCGGCAGAGGAGACUGGAAUUCCUGGUGUAGCAGUGAAAUGCGUAGAUAUCAGGAGGAAUGCCGAUGGCGAAGGCAGGUCUCUGGGCUGACACUGACGCUCAUGCACGAAAGCGUGGGGAGCAAACAGG